CAGUAGCCACGGGAAUACGUAGGUGGCAAGCGUUGUCCGGAAUUAUUGGGCGUAAGGGGCUCGCAGGCGGUUUCUUAAGUCUGAUGUGAAAGCCCCCGGCUCAACCGGGGAGGGUCAUUGGAAACUGGGAAACUUGAGUGCAGAAGAGGAGAGUGGAAUUCCACGUGUAGCGGUGAAAUGCGUAGAGAUGUGGAGGAACACCAGUGGCGAAGGCGACUCUCUGGUCUGUAACUGACGCUGAGGAGCGAAAGCGUGGGGAGCGAGCAGGAUUAGAUACCCCGGUAGUCCCUGUCUCUUAUAC
rnacentral:rRNA from 1 species